rnacentral:rRNA from 1 species
AUUGAACGCUGGCGGCAUGCCUUACACAUGCAAGUCGAACGGCAGCACGGGUGCUUGCACCUGUUGGCGAGUGGCGAACGGGUGAGUAAUACAUCGGAACAUGUCCUGUAGUGGGGGAUAGCCCGGCGAAAGCCGGAUUAAUACCGCAUACGAUCUACGGACGAAAGCGGGGGACCUUCGGGCCUCGCGCUGUAGGGUUGGCCGAUGGCUGAUUAGAUAGUUGGUGGGGUAAAGGCCUACCAAGGCGACGAGCAGUAGCUGGUCUGAGAGGGCGACCAGCCACACUGGGACUGAGACACGGCCCAGACUCCUACGGGAGGCAGCAGUGGGGAAUGUUGGACAAUGGGCGAAAGCCUGAUCCAGCAAUGCCGCGUGUGUGAAGAAGGCCUUCGGGUUGUAAAGCACUUUUGUCCGGAAAGAAAUCCUUGGCCCUAAUACGGUCGGGGGAUGACGGUACCGGAAGAAUAAGCACCGGCUAACUACGUG